AUAAAAGUAGUUAAAUAAAAUAAUAUUAGAGUUGCAAUCUAAAGUUGAGGGAGCUCCUUUUAUA
rnacentral:tRNA from 1 species